UACGUAGGGACCGAGCGUUGUCCGGAAUCAUUGGGCGUAAAGAGCGUGUAGGCGGCCCGAUCAGUCCGCUGUAAAAGUCCAGGGCUCAACCCUGGAAGGCCGGUGGAUACUGUCGGGCUAGAGUCCGGAAGAGGCGAGUGGAAUUCCUGGUGUAGCGGUGGAAUGCGCAGAUAUCAGGAGGAACACCAAUAGCGAAGGCAGCUCGCUGGGACGUUACUGACACUGAGGCGCGAAAGCGUGGGGAGCGAACAGG
rnacentral:rRNA from 1 species